rfam:Picea glauca, whole genome shotgun sequence.
AUGUACAUCCAUACAACAUAGCAUUAAUGCACCAGAUCCCAUUAGAACUCUACAGUUAAGCGCGCCCAGGCUAGAGUAGUACUGGGAUGGGUGACCGCCCAUGAUGUUCUACCAUUUUACAUG